UACAGAGGGUGCAAGCGUUGUUCGGAAUUAUUGGGCGUAAAGGGAGUGUAGGUGGCUAGGAAAGUCUUCUGUGAAAUCUACGGGCUCAGCCUGUAACGUGCAGAGGAAACUAUCUGGCUAGAGUGUCGGAGAGGAUAGGGGAAUACCCGGUGUAGAGGUGAAAUUCGUAGAUAUUCGGAAGAACACCAGUGGCGAAGGCGGCUCACUGGCCCGGUACUGACGCUGAGAUACGAAAGCGUGGGGAGCAAACAGG
rnacentral:rRNA from 1 species